AACCAGGAACCACUGACGACGAGGUGCACCGCCAGUAAUUCGUCGGGGACCACUGAAAUGACCAUCAUUGCUGCGAGCUUCUCUAGUGGCACCAAGUUGGCAGCUCUGCAUCUGGCGCACGCAAUGGACAAUCCCACAGGUCCUUUGUGCCAUUUCAUCCAGUUCUUGCUCUACCAAAGAUGACGUCCACGGUUUGACCGUCCAUCAGCAGACAGUUUCUUCUUCCUGCUAAUGGCCACUGCGUUCUCUUAAUGAACCUUAGCUCGGCGAUCUGCAGUGACUUGUCUUGCCAACCUUUGCACCUGGUACACGCAAGGGACGAUCCCGCAGGUCCUUGUACGUCAUCCACUCCUUGCUCCCCGGAAGAUGUCUCCACCAGACCAUCCCUC